GGGGCAGCAGCCCAUAGCUUUGGGUGGGCAGCAGCCUAUAGAUAUAAAGAAAUGAACAGGAAGGGUCAGCAAGGAGCUGGAAGGUAAAGCAGCACAAAGGUAAAGUAGAAGGAGCAGAAAGGGUCAGAAAUGAGCUGGAAGGGGCAGAAGGAGUACAAACAUAAAGUAGGAGAAUGAGCAGGAAGGGCCUGCAAGGAGCAGGAAGGAGCAGAAAGGGGCAGAAAUGAGCUGGAAGGGGCAGAAGGAGCACAAACAUAAAGUAGGAGAAUGAGCAGG